rnacentral:rRNA from 1 species
UACGGAGGGUGCAAGCGUUAAUCGGAAUUACUGGGCGUAAAGCGCACGUAGGUGGUUUGUUAAGCUAGAUGUGAAAGCCCCGGGCUCAACCUGGGAAUUGCAUUUAGAACUGGCAAGCUAGAGUAGGGUAGAGGGGAGUGGAAUUCCAGGUGUAGCGGUGAAAUGCGUAGAUAUUCGGAGGAACAUCAGUGGCGAAGGCGGCUCCCUGGACUGAUACUGACGCUGAGGUGCGAAAGCGUGGGGAGCAAACAGG